AGAAGAAGACUUAUUAAGAGUUAAAAAAAAAUAAAAAAAAGAAAAGAAAAAAAACUUAUUAUUGAACGUUUGGUCUGAGUAUAAAUAAAAAUUACUUAUUUUAGAAAUAAAUAUAAAUUAAAAUAUGAAUACAAAUUAGAUUAAUUUUAUAUUUAGAUAAAAAUUAGAUUGCUUCUAUAUAUAAGAUAUAUAACAUUUGGAUUGUUAAAUCAAAACAGAAAAAAUAAGAAUUAUAAUUUCAAAUUAAAAAUAUUUUAUCUAAUUGAUUAACAUCAAAAUAUUAAUUAAAAAUAAUUCAAUAAAUUAAUAAGUUUAUUAGGUAUGAAUAUAAUAAUAAAUUAAUAAAUAUAAAAAUUAGUUAAUUAAUCAGUUAACUAAUACAUUAAUUAGUUAUAAAAAUAACUUAAUUUUUUAAUUAGUUAGUAAAUUAUUUUAGUUAGAUAAUUAGUUAAAAAUUAAAUAAAUUAGUUUAAAUAUUAAUGAUUGAUCAAUAUAAAUAUUGGUGAUUAAAUAAAAUGAUUACGGCAACCUCAGCAAGAUCGGAGGCGAGGAGGGCGGAGGUGUGAGCGGGCACGGGGGAGGGAGCUUGGGGUGGAGGCGAGGAGGGGCAUCCCAAAGGGCAACAACAAGCGCAGCCUUGGCGGGGUCGGAAGGGAGGAGGGUGGGUAUGUGGGGGGUCCGCCUCUCUCUUCGGAAAGGAAGAACGAGAGGAAAAAAAAAAAAAAAGAGAAAGAAAGGAAUAAAAGUAUUUUGGUCAGUUUUGUAAAAAUUCGGUCCGAACCUACAAAAUAAAAAAAAAACGAUCAGUUAUGCAAAAGCUCAAAACUUAUAAAUUUUUUAUGCAAUUGGCCAAUUGUGUAAUCAACUUGCUUUCUAUAAAAUAAUCAUGCUAUCUUUAAAUAAAUAUUUAAGAUAGCAUGAUAUCUUUAAACUAAUCAUUCUAUCUUUAAAUAAAUAUUUUUAAUCUUAAAUAUUUAUUUUUAAUAAUGUUUUUAUUCUACAUGAACCAAAAACUAUAAAUCCUAAAAAAAUUUUAAAAA
rnacentral:lncRNA from 1 species